GAACAAAGUUUCUUCAUAUCCUUAUCCAAUCACAAAACUAAUUUUUACACCAAUUGCCUUAUACAUAAUUUUUCCUUCCUCUUUUUGUUCAUUGACAAUGUUAAUUAAUUAGCCAUGAAAGUCCUAAUCAUAUUCAUAAUAUCAACAAUGUUGUCCACUAAUUGCCAAGCAAUUACUACUAAUCUCAACCCUCUAAUCUUGAUACCAGGAGCUGGUGGAAACCAAUUAGAAGCAAGAUUAACUUCAAAGUACAAGCCUACAAGCUUAUUGUGCAACAAGUUGUAUCCAUUAAAUAAAGAUAGUGAAGG
rnacentral:misc_RNA from 1 species